UAUAUUUAAUAUCUUGGAUGAAACAUGGAGUUGGAUUGUUGGAAAUUUUGUUAUACAAACAACCAGUAUAUCAUAGUCAAGUUCUCCUCAAGGUUGACUCGUUGACCUUCCAUCUAUUUUGACUUCUUGACUUUUUGACUUAAUGUUCAAUUACUUUUGUACUGCAAACAUAAUAUUGAGAUAUCUCGUUUAUAUGAUCUUGAUAGUGUGAAUGCAAAUCCUAUGAAGAUAAUUUUAUUAAAUCAAUGUUUUUUUUAUAAAUGUUUUAUUGAAUAAUUGAUUGUAAUAGACUGAGAUAUUACAUAUUAAUUAACAGAUUGUUGGAAUGCAUCGCUGGAAGCAUGGUAGAAAAGGUUCCGGAAUCUUCUGGCUACAAUAUGCUCAUGAUGAAGUUCGCCUUAAUAGAAUUGCUCAGAAGUUGUUUGACUUUGUUGGAAAGUCGAUCUCUGAUGAAUGUUUUGAGGUAUGGGCUGUAUUGAAGCUUGGAUUCUUGGAAAAAGGUAUCAUGUGGAAACAGAAGCAUAACAAUAAGAAGUAGAAACAAGAAGCUGUUCCUUAAUAGCUAUGUAGUACUAGGUUAUAUAGUUAGGGAAAACCUCUUAAUAACAAUGUACAAUCGGAUCCCCUUAAUACCAAUGCAUUACAAUUUUUUAAGAUGAUGUUAUGGAUGAAAUUGAUUGUUUUGGUAUAUAUUU